UACAGAGGUCCCGAGCGUUGUUCGGAUUUAUUGGGCGUAAAGAGCUCGUAGGUGGCUUGUCGCGUCGGGUGUGAAAGCUUGGGGCUUAACUCCAGGUCUGCAUUCGAUACGGGCUGGCUAGAGGUAGGUAGGGGAGAACGGAAUUCCUGGUGUAGCGGUGGAAUGCGCAGAUAUCAGGAGGAACACCAAUAGCGAAGGCAGCUCGCUGGGACGUUACUGACACUGAGGCGCGAAAGCGUGGGGAGCGAACAGG
rnacentral:rRNA from 1 species